UGGUGAAACAGGUACCCUAACCACAA
rnacentral:piRNA from 1 species